rfam:Homo sapiens chromosome X, GRCh38 reference primary assembly.
AAGACUAUACUUUCAGGGAUUAUUUCUAUAGUUUGUUAAUUAUUUGUACUAAUAGUAGUAAUUGACACUAACUAGU